ACAGGCACCUGAGUAUCGCGGGACACGAGAAAUCCUGCGAGAAUCAGCCGGGACCAUCCGGCAAGGCUAAACACUACCGAGAGACCGAUAGCGAACCAGUACCGUGAGGGAAAGGUGAAAAGAACCUCGAACAGAGGAGUGAAACAGACCCUGAAAUCAUGUGCCUACAAGCGGUUCGAGCCCUUGAGUGGGGUGAGAGCGUGCCUUUUGCAUAAUGAACCUACGAGUCACCGUCGCCGGCGAGGCUAAGUGUCAGAAGGCACGGAGCCGGAGCGAAAGCGAGUCUGAACAGGGCGUCAGAGUCGGCGGAGGUGGACGCGAAACCAAGUGAUCUACCCUUGGGCAGGUUGAAGGUGGGGUAACACCCACUGGAGGACCGAACCGGUAAGCGUUGAAAAGCUUUCGGAUGACCUGAGGGUAGGAGUGAAAGGCCAAUCAAACUUGGAGAUAGCUCGUACUCCCCGAAAUGCAUUUAGGUGCAGCCUCGGGGUCAGUACCGCGGAGGUAGAGCGACCGAUAGGAUGCGAGGGCUUCACCGCCUAUCAAGUCCUGACGAACUCCGAAUGCCGCGGCACGAUCCCCGGGAGUGAGGGCGCGGGUGCUAAGGUCCGCGUCCGAGAGAGGAACAACUCAGACCACCGGCCAAGGCCCCCAAAUGCGGGCUAAGUUGAAGACCAUAACGAGGUGGGAUUGCCUGGACAGCUAGGAUGUUGGCUUGGAAGCAGCCAUUCAUUUAAAGAGUGCGUAACAGCUCACUAGUCGAGUGAUCCCGCAUGGAUAAUAAUCGGGCAUAAGUCCGCUGCCGCAGCCGUGGAAUCUCAAAUAGCUUUGAGAUUGGUAGGGGAGCAUUCCGCACGCCGCAGAAGGUGAGGCGCGAGCCUUGCUGGAGGUACCGGAAAAGCAAAUGUAGGUAUAAGUAACGAUAAUUGGGGCGAGAAACCCCAACGCCGAAAGACCAAGGGUUCCUGAUCAACGCUAAUCGGAUCAGGUUAAGUCGGGACCUAAGGAGCAGCCGCAAGGCGCAUCCGAUGGACAGCCGGUCAAUAUUCCGGCACCCGGCGCAAGAGUGAUGCGGCGACGGAGAAGUGACACAUCCGCGUGCUGACGGAAUAGCACGUUAAACCGCGUAGUUAUAUANGAUGGUAAUCCGGCUCCCAAGAAAACCCGCUAAACAAAUCUUGCGUUGGCCCGUACCGUAAACCGACACAGGUGGUCGGGUAGAAUAUACUAAGGCGCUCGAGAGAAUCAUGGUUAAGGAACUAGGCAAAUUGACCCCGUAACUUCGGGAUAAGGGGUCCCCGCUGCAAGGCGGGGCGCAGAGAAUAGGUCCAGGCAACUGUUUAACAAAAACACAGGGCUAUGCAAAGUUUAAAGACGAAGAAUAUAGCCUGACACCUGCCCGGUGCCGGAAGGUUAAGAGGAGAUGUCAUCGCAAGAGAAGCAUUGAAUUGAAGCCCCGGUAAACGGCGGCCGUAACUAUAACGGUCCUAAGGUAGCGAAAUUCCUUGUCGGGUAAGUUCCGACCUGCACGAAUGGUGUAAUGAUCUGGACACUGUCUCAACCAUGAACUCGGUGAAAUUGUAGUAUCGGUGAAGAUGCCGAUUACCCGCAACGGGACGAAAAGACCCCGUGAACCUUUACUGCAGCUUAGCACUGUGACCGGGUGUGCGAUGUGUAGGAUAGUCAGGAGACAGCGAGUCAGGGACGCCAGUUCCUGAGGAGUCGACGUUGAAAUACUGACCUUCGCACAUUUGGUCUCUAACUCUCGUUUGAGAGGACACUGCUUGGUGGGUAGUUUGACUGGGGUGGUCGCCUCCAAAAGAGUAACGGAGGCUUCUAAAGGUGCGCUCAGGCCGAUUGGUAACCGGCCGCAGAGUGUAAUGGCACAAGCGCGCUUGACUGGGAGACAAACAAGUCGCACAGGUAGGAAACUAGAGCAUAGUGAUCCGGUGGUUCCGCAUGGAAGGGCCAUCGCUCAAAGGAUAAAAGGUACUCCGGGGAUAACAGGCUGAUCCCUCCCAAGAGCUCAUAUCGACGGAGUGGUUUGGCACCUCGAUGUCGGCUCGUCACAUCCCGGGGCUGGAGAAGGUCCCAAGGGUUAGGCUGUUCGCCUAUUAAAGUGGCACGCGAGCUGGGUUCAGAACGUCGUGAGACAGUUCGGUCUCUAUCUGUUGUGGGCGUAGGAGAUUUGCGAGGGUCCGGCACUAGUACGAGAGGACCGUGCUGGACAGACCACCGGUUUACCGGUUGUACCGCCAGGUGCACCGCCGGGUAUCCGCGUCUGGACAGGAUAAGUGCUGAAAGCAUCUAAGCACGAAGCCCUCCUCAAGAUAAGAUCUCCUCCAUAUAGGGUCGUUGCAGACUACGACGUAGAUAGGUUGCAGGUGCAGGGGCAGCAAUGUCCACAGCCGAGCAAUACUAAUAGCCCGAA
rnacentral:rRNA from 1 species